CGGCCUCCCCCGGCCGCUCAGCCAGUACGAGGUGAGGGCCGGGGCCCCGCUCGGCCUCCCCCGGCCUCCCCCGGCCGCUCAGCCAGUACGAGGUGAGGGCCGGGGCCCCGCUCAGCCUCCCCCGGCCGCUCAGCCAGUACGAGGUGAGGGCCGGGGCCCCGCUCGGCCUCCCCCGGCCUCCCCCGGCCGCUCAGCCAGUACGAGGUGAGGGCCGGGGCCCCGCUCAGCCUCCCCCGGCCGCUCAGCCAGUACGAGGUGAGGGCCGGGGCCCCGCUCGGCCUCCCCCGGCCUCCCCCGGCCGCUCAGCCAGUACGAGGUGAGGGCCGGGGCCCCGCUCAGCCUCCCCCGGCCGCUCAGCCAGUACGAGGUGAGGGCCGGGGCCCCGCUCGGCCUCCCCCGGCCUCCCAGCCAGUACGAGGUGAGGGCCGGGGCCCGGGGCCCCGCUCGGCCUCCCCCGGCCGCUCAGCGGGUACGAGGUGGGAACAUGCUCUCGCUCUCUCUC